GGGGGUGUAAAGGUUUCGACGGGGGUGUAGAAGCAAGGUAAGCGAGCCGUAGUCGCCAAGUCUACGUUAAAAGUGGCCGUUUAAAUAUAAACGCUAAAGAAAAAACAAACUUCGCACCAAUGGCAAUCGCUGCGUAAGCAGCAUUAGCUGUGCGUGUCAGCUCCGGUUCACCUGUAGGCCGGAAAUCUGGCAUCGAUUAUACAGGAAAACUUUGCGCGAGUUCUCGGUAGCGUAAGGGAACAACGAGAUAGCUGAUCUGAUAGCCUGCUGAUGGGCGAUCGGAGAAGCGAAAUAACAAAUCAUUAGCUGCGCUCGGAGAAAGUCUUGUGGAAAUGCUUUCGGACGCGAGUUCGACUCUCGCCAUCUCCACCA
rnacentral:tmRNA from 3 species